rnacentral:sRNA from 9 species
UGUAUCUGAAGCCUGACGAGGAUGAGAACCUCCGGGGGCAAGAGGUUCGACCCGAGCGAAGCGAGAAAACGUUGCGUCAGCAACGGCCCGCAGGGCGAGCCAUCCUCUAUCACCGGCAG